rnacentral:rRNA from 1 species
UACGGAGGGUGCGAGCGUUGUCCGGAAUCACUGGGCGUAAAGGGCGCGUAGGUGGCCUGUGGAAGUCUGCGGUGAAAGCCCGGCGCUCAACGCCGGGUCGGCCGUGGAUACUCUCGGGCUCGAGCUUACUAGAGGCAGAUGGAAUUCCGGGUGUAGCGGUGGAAUGCGUAGAGAUCCGGAAGAACACCGGUGGCGAAGGCGGCCCCCUGGGCUAACACUGACGCUGAGGCGCGAAAGCCAGGGGAGCGAACGGG